rnacentral:lncRNA from 1 species
UUGAAGCUUAGUGAUGCUAGUCUCUGUUAACAUGGCCUCGGUUUCGUGGUUUAGAAUAUUCCUAGCCAUCUAAUAUACUGAUUCUACAGCAUAGUGACCACUUUGUGUAUAAUUCCAACAAAAUUUAUUGUUUUGAGUGGAUUGGCUUGCGGUUAAACUCUGAAUAGAUGGUAUAUCUUCCGGUACAACUAGACUCUCUAACUUUUCCACAUUCCAUCCUUUAAUUUUAUGAUAAAUAAAAUCACUCACUGACAUCCU